AUUGAACGCUGGCGGAAUGCUUUACACAUGCAAGUCGAACGGUAGAGGGGGCAACCCCUUGAGAGUGGCGAACGGGUGAGUAAUAUAUCGGAACGUGCCCAGUCGUGGGGGAUAACGUAGCGAAAGUUACGCUAAUACCGCAUACGAUCUACGGAUGAAAGCGGGGGACUCGCAAGAGCCUCGCGCGAUUGGAGCGGCCGAUAUCAGAUUAGGUAGUUGGUGAGGUAAAGGCUCACCAAGCCAACGAUCUGUAGCUGGUCUGAGAGGACGACCAGCCACACUGGAACUGAGACACGGUCCAGACUCCUACGGGAGGCAGCAGUGGGGAAUUUUGGACAAUGGACGCAAGUCUGAUCCAGCCAUUCCGCGUGCAGGACGAAGGCCUUCGGGUUGGUAAACUGCUUUGUACAGAACGAAAAGGUCUCUAUUAAUACUAGGGCUCAUGACGGUACUGUAAGAAUAAGCACCGGCUAACUACGUG
rnacentral:rRNA from 1 species